UACGUAGGGUGCAAGCGUUAAUCGGAAUUACUGGGCGUAAAGCGUGCGCAGGCGGUUAUGCAAGACAGAUGUGAAAUCCCCGGGCUCAACCUGGGAACUGCAUUUGUGACUGCAUAGCUAGAGUACGGUAGAGGGGGAUGGAAUUCCGCGUGUAGCAGUGAAAUGCGUAGAUAUGCGGAGGAACACCGAUGGCGAAGGCAAUCCCCUGGACCUGUACUGACGCUCAUGCACGAAAGCGUGGGGAGCAACAGG
rnacentral:rRNA from 1 species